CGUUCCUGGGAGUUUUAGGAGGGGUUUAGAGGUUCUUUUUUUCUGUGGAAUUCUGGUUUUCCAAGCCAAAACAGUGAUUGAGUUUGGAGUUCUGUUACUGGGUGAGGAAUGAUUGUUCCUGGAAUGUUGGGAGGAGUUGGAGGCUCCUUCAUUCCAUGGAAUUCUGCUUUUCUGAGCCAAAACAUUGACUGGGUUUGGGAUUCUGUUCUGUUGAUGUUCCUCAAUGGUUUUUCCUUCCCUGGUUGUUCCUGGGAGUUUUGGAAGGGUUUGGAGGUUCCUUCAUUCCAUUGAAUUCUGCUUUUCCAAGCUAAAACAGUGAUGGAGUUUGGGAUUCUGUU